rnacentral:rRNA from 1 species
AACGAACGCUGGCGGCAGGCCUAAUACAUGCAAGUCGAACGAUCCUUCGGGAUAGUGGCGCACGGGUGAGUAACACGUGGGAACAUACCCUUGGGUGCGGAACAACGUCGGGAAACUGACGCUAAUACCGCAUAAUGACUCCGGUCCAAAGAUUUAUCGCCCAAAGGAUUGGCCCGCGCUAGAUUAGGUUGUUGGUGAGGUAACGGCUCACCAAGCCUACGAUCUAUAGCUGGUCUGAGAGGAUGAUCAGCCACACUGGGACUGAGACACGGCCCAGACUCCUACGGGAGGCAGCAGUAAGGAAUAUUGGACAAUGGGGGCAACCCUGAUCCAGCCAUGCCGCGUGAGUGAAGAAGGCCUUAGGGUUGUAAAGCUCUUUCAGGUGCGAAGAUAAUGACUGUAACACCAGAAGAAGCCCCGGCUAAAUUCGUGCCAGCAGCCGCGGUAAAGUACAGUGU